rnacentral:rRNA from 1 species
UGUGAAGAAGGCCUUUUGGUUGUAAAGCACUUUAAGCAGUGAAGAAGACUCUUCGGUUAAUACCCGGAGACGAUGACAUUAGCUGCAGAAUAAGCACCGGCUAACUCUGUGCCAGCAGCCGCGGUAAUACAGAGGGUGCAAGCGUUAAUCGGAAUUACUGGGCGUAAAGCGAGCGUAGGUGGCUUGAUAAGUCAGAUGUGAAAUCCCCGGGCUUAACCUGGGAACUGCAUCUGAAACUGUUAGGCUAGAGUAGGUGAGAGGGAAGUAGAAUUUCAGGUGUAGCGGUGAAAUGCGUAGAGAUCUGAAGGAAUACCGAUGGCGAAGGCAGCUUCCUGGCAUCAUACUGACACUGAGGCUCGAAAGCGUGGGUAGCAAACAGGAUUAGAUACCCUGGUAGUCCACGCCGUAAACGAUGUCUACUAGUCGUUGGGUCCCUUGAGGACUUAGUGACGCAGCUAACGCAAUAAGUAGACCGCCUGGGGAGUACGGCCGCAAGGUUAAAACUCAAAUGAAUUGACGGGGGCCCGCACAAGCGGUGGAGCAUGUGGUUUAAUUCGAUGCAACGCGAAGAACCUUACCUGGUCUUGACAUACACAGAAUCUUGUAGAGAUACGAGAGUGCCUUCGGGAAUUGUGAUACAGGUGCUGCAUGGCUGUCGUCAGCUCGUGUCGUGAGAUGUUGGGUUAAGUC